UCCAUCUCUGUCUGUCUCUGUCUCCCUCUGUCUCUCUGUCUCCAUGUCUCUCUCUCUCUCUGUGUCUCCCUCUGUCUGUCUGUCUCUGUCUCUCCCCGACAUCUGAACGAAGCCCCAGGCUCCCCGGGGUUCAUCUCUGCAGCACACACGCUCUCUGACUCGGCGCUCAGUGCCGUAGGGACGAAGGUUGCCAAGGAGGAACGAGGCCGCGGCCGGCUGAGCCCACAGCAGACUCUCCCCACGCCCGUCUGAGAUGGGGUCUCACUAUGUUGCCCAGGCUGGUCUCAAACUCCUGGGCUCAAAUCAUCCUCCCGACUCGGCCUCCCAAAGUGCUGGGAUGACAGGUGCGAGCCCCUGUGCGUGGCCUUCAGACCCGUUUCUAGCAGGGAAUUCUACGUGCAUCGGCUGCUGGAUAACGGUGGAGGAGGGUCUACCUUGCACCUGUUCCCGGGCUGAGGGACGCAACGGCCACAGCAGUAAGGUCUCCAGGCGGAACAAGCCGAGCCUUUGGGAUCCGUCAGACCGGAGACAGAUGGCUCAAGGUGCCUCCUGAGCUGGGUGCUGAAGUGCUUUAGCAAAAUGCACGCUAG